AUUGAACGCUGGCGGAAUGCUUUACACAUGCAAGUCGAACGGCAGCACGGACUUCGGUCUGGUGGCGAGUGGCGAACGGGUGAGUAAUACAUCGGAACGUGCCCAAUCGUGGGGGAUAACGUAGCGAAAGCUACGCUAAUACCGCAUACGAUCUAAGGAUGAAAGCGGGGGAUCGCAAGACCUCGCGCGAUUGGAGCGGCCGAUGGCAGAUUAGGUAGUUGGUAGGGUAAAGGCCUACCAAGCCGACGAUCUGUAGCUGGUCUGAGAGGAUGAUCAGCCACACUGGGACUGAGACACGGCCCAGACUCCUACGGGAGGCAGCAGUGGGGAAUUUUGGACAAUGGACGCAAGUCUGAUCCAGCCAUUCCGCGUGCAGGAUGAAGGCCCUCGGGUUGUAAACUGCUUUUGUACAGAACGAAAAGGCUCUGGUUAAUACCUAGGGCUCAUGACGGUACUGUAAGAAUAAGCACCGGCUAACUACGUGCCAGCCGCCGCGGUAA
rnacentral:rRNA from 1 species